AAGGGUAUAAUUCAGUGGUAGAGUGCCUGCCUAGCAUGCAUGAGGUCCUGGGUUCAAUCCCCAGUACCUCCA
rnacentral:tRNA from 1 species